rnacentral:misc_RNA from 1 species
UUUCCGUAGGUGAACCUGCGGAAGGAUCAUUCAUAAUAAAGUGUUUUAUGGCACUUUUUAAAAAUCCAUAUCCACCUUGUGUGCAAUGCUAGAUCUCGUCAAUCUAGGCGAGAUUUUUAUACAUCAACUCAUUCUUUAACUAAUUUGUCUGAAGAAUAUUAUGAACACUUAUUUCAAAAUACAACUUUCAACAACGGAUCUCUUGGCUCUC